rnacentral:lncRNA from 14 species
GUGGGAGAACCCUGGAGCUGUGGGCCAGCCUUGGCUCCUCUGUGGGCACAUCUCUUGAGCUGCUGGGACAUCAGGGUGAGGAGCUUAAGGGGAGGCCUCAGAAGAAUUCAAGCCCCAACCUCCUG